GCCUGCCAUGCCAACUUCAACAGUCUAGAGAGGGGGCUUGCCAUCAUCAGUUUGGAGGUGAGGACGCUGUGGUUCAGAGAAGUGAGGUGGCUUCUCCGAGGUCACACAGUCCAGUGAGAGAGCUACGAUUUAAACCAGGUCCGUCUUAAUCCACUGAAUGUGCUAUAUCAGGAGAGAAAGGUUUUGCUUGGAAUCUGCCAUCAGCAAUGCCGAGGCCUGGCCUUGGUGGAAAUGGAGGUGCUGCUUAACUUUUCUUCCAAAACAUAGUACAACCCUAGUCAUCCUGGGCGAAGAAUGCAUGAAGGAAAUGAACAUGAUGGAUCAUAUACAUCAUACUGUCAUCCCCCAAGAGUGAGACAAACAGUAUCUUGAGGAGGCUCACACUGUCUUCCUGAUAAAAGCCAACAAGAAUGUGCAUUAAAAUGGAUCCUGUAUUUUAUGAUAAACUAUUCUCGCCCUGUGUUAUAUUGUGUUUUAUACAUAUAUACACCCCACCUUUAUGGAAUAAAAAUGAAUUCAGUGGACCUAAGGCAUUUGCUCUGGGGAUUUGGGAAUUAAAUACUGGAGGGCUAGACAAUGUCAAAAAUUGGAGUGGAAUUAAGGAAAUUAAUAAAAU
rnacentral:lncRNA from 10 species